GCGGUCGGGGGAGCUUGCGUCUGAUUAGCUAGUUGGUGGGGUAAGAGCCUACCAAGGCGACGAUCAGUAGCUGGUCUGAGAGGAUGAGCAGCCACACUGGGACUGAGACACGGCCCAGACUCCUACGGGAGGCAGCAGUGGGGAAUUUUCCGCAAUGGGCGAAAGCCUGACGGAGCAACGCCGCGUGAGGGAGGAAGGCCCUUGGGUUGUAAA
rnacentral:rRNA from 1 species